UAUCAAGACUUCUACACAACGAACAUCUGUGAUGACAGGGAAAUUAUCCUGGCACUCCGGAGAAUAUGCGAAGCAGGAAGCCUCAGUAUAAAUAAUAGAUAGAUCUUAAUGUUAUUCUUUUUUUGGUACUGGGGAUUGAACUCUGG
rnacentral:sRNA from 1 species